rnacentral:rRNA from 1 species
UACUCCUACGGGAGGCAGCAGUGGGGAAUUUUGCGCAAUGGGCGAAAGCCUGACGCAGCAACGCCGCGUGAGUGAUGAAGGCCCUCGGGUCGUAAAGCUCUGUCAGAGGGGAAGAAACUUUUGAGGGAGAAUAUCCCUUGAAACUGACGGUACCCUCAAAGGAAGCACCGGCUAACUCCGUGCCAGCAGCCGCGGUAAUA